CUUGUUUUUAUUUUUUUUAUAUUUUGCCAUGCAAAGCUUCCCAAACAUGUUUCUUUCUCUUUUUCUAGCAGUGUAAAGUACGGUUAUCCUACUCUGCUCUUUUUUCUUCUCCUUUCUCAUACCUGAUCUAAGUCCUUUAAUUAGCCAGAUUCUCCAUCAAUUCCAGGAUUUUAUGCUUUGUUAUUUUUUUUUUCUUUGCAUGCAGAUGCUGCGCCUUUGUUCAUGAAAUAUCUUUCCACUCUUUCAUCUCGUCUGGGGCUGUAAUGCUGCUGUGCUGUGGUACAGACACGUACCCAAACUGCAAUACGUUGAACACAUCAUCUCCUUCUUAGCUGUACCAAAGCUAAUUUUGUCUGCCUGAGAGCUGGGAGAUCUGACAGAACUGUGCAGAACACAUCUGCCAGGCUUACAAAGCUGUAUCCAGAAACGCAAUUUCCAAGUGCCUGGGGAAGCCUCGCUGAGCUACAGCCAUCAGAGCAGAGGAGGGUGCUGAGCUGCUGGCAGAAUGUACGAGAAUUUCUUUCAUAUGUGUUCAGACAGUUUUAUAUUCUCCUUCUGGGAAGAAAUGCAAGAAAUCUCAACAGAACAGUCUGCAGGGUUGCUGACCUCAGUAUUUUGAUUUUUCAAUUGACCUCUAGAUGUAGAGAGGUAAGGUAGUAUUUUUAGCAACAUCCAGAAUGGGCAGGAGCCAUUUACUGCUCACAGUCUCUUUUGAUUGCCUCUCUUGAACAAGGAGAAAAACAUAACAGGCAUUCAGGUAAGAACGAAAGAGACAAUGAAGCUCAGGCAAGCCAUGAUAAUAACGUAGUUAAGAUGAUUUAUUUAUUUGCCAGUCCUUGUGGGCUGUUUUAUGCUGACUUCAUCCUGUUGCUUUAACCCUCUAGGCGCUGCACCAUCUCGGGUCUGCAACAGUAGGGAUACACCAGCUUCUCCGCUUCGUUUCUUCCGCAGCACGGCUCUGGCAGAGGCGGGAUCUGAGCGGUAACAAAGGAGAAGCAUGGUAUUUAUGGCAGGCUCAGGGAACCUGACAGCCUGUGGCACAGCUGGCCGGUCAUUCCAGCGAGGUGCCCAGCGGAGGGGCGGGCACCCACCCGGCGCUCAGCACCGCCCGGCUGCCCCGCUCGGGAGGAGAAGGCCGCGAGGCGACGCCGCCGCGGGCACAGCGCAGCACAGCGGCGCCGCGCCCCCAUGGGGCACGGGC
rnacentral:lncRNA from 1 species